GACGUCGAUAUUCGACGUCAUAAACACGAUCAACUUUGGUGUUUAUGACGUCGAUAUUCGACAUCAUAAACACGAUCAAAUUUGGUGUUUAUGACGUCGAUAUUCGACGUCAUAAACACCAUCAAGUUUGGUGUUGAUGACGUCGAUAAUCGACGUGAUAAACACGAUCAACUUUGGUGUUUAUGACGUCGAUAUUCGACGUCAUAAACACCAUCAACUUUGGUGUUUAUGACGUCGAUAUUCGACGUC
rnacentral:miRNA from 1 species